rnacentral:misc_RNA from 1 species
AUAAAACUGUGUCCAUUUUUAUUUAUCUCCAUUUUGCCUCUUUUUCAAUGUGAAUUUUCCAUAGGGUUAAUUCAAAGAUGGUGUUAUCUUUAUCUUUAUACACACUACAUUAUGGCCGAGAGAUUGGGUAAAAACAACCCUGUAUGCAGUAUUCUGUUUCUAGUAUUUUGUUUUCCUUUUUCCUAGUUCAUUUAAUUUGUUAAUAGACAAUCCCGAAUUGUCAUCAUGCCUAUCUUGAUCAUUAGCUUAUUACAAGCAUUCCAACAAUUAUAUAUAUAUACAUGUAUAACAAUUUCAAUUACAAAUGUAAUGUGAGUUGUGAAUUUAAUGGUUGUGACAGAAAGAGAACAGAAUAAAUAUUCAGGAACUGAAUUCAAAAGUU